rnacentral:miRNA from 1 species
UGUGUGGGUAUGUCUGUAUGUGCUUAGAUGUAUAAAAUAUGUGGAGAUACAUAUAUAUACACACAUACACACUCACGUA